GAGGGUAGAGCUCAGUGGUAGAGCACAUGCUUAGCAUGCCUGAGGUCCUGGGUUCAAUCCCCAGUCCCUCCA
rnacentral:tRNA from 1 species